rnacentral:lncRNA from 1 species
UAUACAGAUUACAGCUACUUUGUGACUGAUAGUGAGUGGAACUUCCACCUGAUAUAUCCCUAUUAUACUAUGAAAAUGUACAAAUACCUGAAAUGUAAAAAUGAGCCUAAUGUUAAGAUGGAUAGGAAGGACACUGUGACUAGUUCUGUGUGGAGUUUGGUAGCACUGUGAUUCAUUUGAUGCUUCUAGAAACCACAAAAAACUAUACAUUGGAGAAAUUAUGGACUCUGUGUUCUUAUGAUGACUAGUUAGUUCUGAAGCACCUGGACAUUAUCUGAAGACUUCAUUCUUGGAAUAGAAGAUGACAUUUCAUCCCUGACUCCAGUGGAGUUCAAGUGUGAAUAA